rnacentral:pre_miRNA from 1 species
GAUUUGAUCAAUUAGGGUCCUGGCUAUUUUUCAGGACAUAGCUGCACCUGAAUAUAACCAAAGCCUGACUGU